UCAUCUCAACACUACUAAUUGGCUCUGUCUACUCUCAAUUUGUUAUACAGAAGAACAGCAUCACUGUUAUCUCCCCUGACCAUCUCCAUGCUUUGUACGAUUCUGCAAUCGGAAACUUUGGAAGUACAAAUCAAACAGGGACUAUAACAGGUUCCCUUGUUUACCCAACUAAUAAAGCCUCUAACUCCAAGGGUUGUAAGUCCUUUGAUGGUGAAAACACCUUCACCUCACCAUCUUCUCGUCCCACCAUUCUUCUUCUUGAUCGUGGAGAUUGUUACUUUACUUUGAAGGUAUGGAAUGGACAAAAGGCAGGAGCUUCAGCAGUUUUAGUAGCUGAUGAAGUAUAUGAGCCUUUAACAAGUGUGAAGAGCAGCAGCAAUGGAGGUGGAACAACA